AAGGACACCAUGCACUGAGGUUAGAAUUUCUAGACCUCUCUGAAGUGAGUGGUCUGAAAAAGUACCUCCUAAAAGAUCUCUUCAUUAUUUGUUACCUCAAUGGAACGUGCUAGUUUGUGUGCUCAAUACAUAGGUCGCGUUGAGGAACGUUUUUCAUGAAAAAUAAUAAUAAGCUGUGGUUCCUAGUAUCUCCUCCGCAUAUAGGAUUUUAUUGGAACUACAUAAUGCAGUUUUUACUUCUCUCCUGAUUUUGAAAUUAAUUUAUAAAAGUCAAGUGAAAAAGCUAGUAGUGCUUGUUCAAUCACAAAACUAUUUAUAUAUUUCUUACAGCUCCAAGAUAUAUCUGUAGACGUCAUAUCGAUAAAAGUUGCAUUGGGGAAAGCCCAAGAUGAAGCAAUGGAUUUAAGCGAUCAAGGUACCCCAACUCCAACUCCGUCACCCUCUCCUCUGCCUGUUAGUGAUCAUCCGGAAGGUACCUUGCUAGAAUUCAUCCAAGAGUCCAAGUGGAAUGCUGCCCUUUAUUUUGUUCGGCAGAAUAAGUAAGUUUUCUACUUUUCGGGUUUUCAAGUCUAUGAUUUUUAUGUAAAAGCAAGUAGAAAAAAUUUUAACAGAAAUUCAUACAAAUUUAAUUCGGUUUAGUUCCGUCAAGGUUAGUUUUUCUCAAAAUGGUUUUUGAUGUUCAGCAAGAAAUGAGCUCUUUUUGCUGUGCAGAUUAUCUUGUCUAUUUUAUUUUUUUUUCCAAAGUCUGGCCUAAAAAAUGCUAGAAACAACUUCACACUUUACGGUCUAAUUUCAGAAAGUGAUUUCAACUGAAUUCAGUACUUGUCCCUAACAAACAAUCAGGGCAAAAAUUCCUAUUGCUUUAAGGUACCCAAUCCUCGUCCAACUUUUUGUUAUGUAACAUGAACUCAAAAAGAUGUUCUUCAUAAUAAUGUACCUUCAUAUUUUUACAUUCAAUCUUAUUGUACUUUUUGUCAAGGACUUAUAGCUCAUACUCAUCAAUUUUUCAGGGGUUCAUGGUCUUUUGUCAGCGAUUUGAUUUGCUCAGGAAUAGAUGAUGAUGAUGUAGUCUACACUUUGAAUGUUUACUGUUACUACCUGAUUCAAAAAAGGCCAGAUGUUUUUGUCAUGACCGAACAAGAUCUGAGCUCUGUUUUAAACUCCUUAAUGGAAGGAUUAUGCAAAGUUUUGGCUGCUGUGAAUAAAGUGGAAACGUUUGUGAAACAACAGCGGCAAACUGUAUGCUGAGUUACACCAAAGUUUAUCAGUAAAGUCUAGUCAGAUGUGGAUAUUCAUAUAUUUUUUUAAUCUAUUCUAUUUUUAAUUUCUUCUUAUGUUCAAUACUGUCUUUCCAAGUCAAGAAACUAGUUUUAAAUUGUUAGGUACAGGCCAUAACAAGUAACCUGCAUCCUGCAUAUAUUGAUGCAGAUUUUCUCUUUAAAACAGUUUUUUCUGUUGGAAGUCUUUAUCAAAUCAACAGUUUUCACAGGUACAUAUUG
rnacentral:lncRNA from 1 species